CGAGGCCGGUCUGCGAGCCGUGGGCGGGUUGCCACAGCUCCGUCGGCUUAAUCUUCAUAGGCCUCGGCCGUAUUUAUCGUCGUCCGGUUCCACAGCAACUGUUGUUAUUGCCGGCGAUGGCUUCUUCCAGAAGUUGCGACUUUGCAGUUUCAGGGGCUGGAUGGUGCAGUUUGUGGUCAACGAGGACUCGGCUUGUGUUUCAUUUAGCCUCUGGAAGGGAAAGCAGCAGGGUGCUCUGGCGGCCUUUGGUUCCAGCACAGAGGACGAGUCCUCCAGCAGAUCAGUCCCACCAACCGUGAUGCCAAAUCUCCAACACCUCGAGUUUCAUGUUCCCGUCAGGGCCCUAUACAAGGAUGGGAACGGUAGCUGCCGCAUCCUGGGGUUGCACUGCCUCCUUUCGCUUCGCAGCGUCAGAGUAUUUGUCGACUGUGAGGGUGCCUCUCCUGAUGACGUGGAGAAAGCAGAGGCUGAGCUGAGGCACGCAGCACAACUCCAUCCCAACAGCCUCAUGCUCGAUCUCCCUCGAUGGAAUCAAGGUAAAAUGAUGCGACACUCAACGGAUCAAAUCGGCGAUCACUCAACGGAUCAAAUCGGCGAUCAGGAUGGUGAUGAUUUGUGUGAGGAGGAAGAGGAAGAGGAAGGUGAGGUCUCAUCUGCUGGCGAUGAGGUCAUUGCCACGGAGUUAGGAGCCGAUCCCACCAGCGCUUGAAUCAGUUGGACGCAAGUCAUCCUUAUUUCCUUCCCGUAGCAUACAUGUCCAGCUUGGCUUGCUCAAUGGGAGGACUUAAUUUCACCACGUUGGAAUUGUGGCACUACGUGUGACCUGGCGCAAAUGGGGCCUUCCUGUCUAUCUUUGUGGGUCCAUGUACUUUCAUUGCUUCUUAGCUUAGAAAAAACAAAAAAAAAAAAUAGAAAACCAGAAAAAAAAA